rnacentral:lncRNA from 1 species
UCAGUGCAACAAAGAUCAGAUUAUGCCUUCAUAUUUGUGUGUUAGUCUGAUUGCACACAGCAGAAUGUUUAGCUCCAGAGCUUGGGGAUUUUACAGCUACCACAGAUAUCAAGGACAUUAGGCAGAAAUCAGGAACCAACCACAACCUGGAGAAAAGAUCAUAAUAAUAAGAGAAGAACCAGGAUUGCACCAAGGAAAAUAUGAAUUAAACAACAGGGAGCUCUGAUUAAUGAAGCCAGCUGGCUGCGAACCAGGUGAGCAGCAGCAAGGCCCUUCCAGGGAAUGGAAACAAGAAAUGUGUUGAGGACUUUGGGACAGAGAAAAUAAAAGGCAAGAAGAGGAAAACAGAACAGUGGGAACAGACAGAAUCUCAGCAUGUGUGGUCUCCUGUGUGCCAGUGGGAAAAGACCUUGUCAGAGAGAAGCAACAAAACCUCAGGGCAUAUAAAUUUCUGGCCUCAGUUUGAUCUCAAGCUCCCUUCACAGCCUGGAGCAAGUGACUCCAGAGGAGGAGAGCAGCAGCACAGGUUCCAAUGACACCUUGGCAGAAAGCCUAAAAAACUCUCUGCAGGCUCCCACUGGAUCAUUUCUCCUGCUUCUUAUGGAAAGUUUUCAGCCCAGACUGCAGCCAGAUUUAAUGUUCAAGUGAGCUGAUUAUGACUUAUUGUCCCCAUCACAGAGCUGCCACCAGGCCACCCCAGCUGGCAGUGCCAUGAGGUACUUUGCAAAAAUAAGAUGGAUGGCAGCAGCAGGAGCAGGAGAGCAAGCUCUGAACCAGGAGCAAAAGCAGAGCUCAUUUAGGUCUCUUUUGCACUGUGCUGCAAAAGCCUGGGGGGGAAGAAGAGAAGGGGUAAUGGUUUAAACCCAUAUCAAUUUAUAUUAAAUAGAAGGAAGGAUUUUUUUCAUAGUGAGGGUGGUAAAACACUGGCACCCAGGGAUGUGGUGGGGGCUGCAUCCCUGGAAACAUUCCAGGUCAGGCUGGACAUGGAUCUGAGCCCCUGGCUGAGUUGGAGAUGUCCCUGCUCUUUGCAGGGGAUUAGUCCAGGUGAGGUCACUUCCAACCCAAGCUGGUCUGUGAUUGCAUGAUGAACUUUCCUUGGUAGGACAGAGGGUGGGCUGGACCUGCAGAGGUCACAUUGGAG